GCUCCCUUUAGAGGAAGGGUGGUAACUCUGUGUGGCAUAGGUGAGACUGUUUCUCAUGUCGGAGUCUCAUGUUCUGGUUUUGAAUCUGACAUUGCGCAUCUGUGAAAGAUGACCCAUAAAGUGACACAGCUAAUGAGGCAUUCUGCGCCAGCAUUGAUGUCGCCAUGGUAACCAGUUCUGAUGCUUCCCACGGAGCGCCACGCCUUGUACCUGGUGGUACCUGCCAACAUCCUGUACACACUUGCAGCUGUCACACACUCAUGGUUCGAGCUGCCACCUCACAGCUUCUACGGCCUGUGGUGGGUACAGUUCUGUGACUACCUGCGCUGUCAGAUUAUACCAGCAUUCUACUCUGAGGAACCAGUGUGGUACCAUGUGCUGCAGGGUCUCAGUUUGCUGGGAUGGGGAGCGCUCUCCCUGUCGAUGCUGCUGCUAAUUUCCACACGACUAGAUAAAUGCCUCCCAGAGCAGUUUGUGAAAAGCAAGCGUCAGCUGACUAUAUCUGGGGUUUGUCUUGUUUCUGUGUUUGCGAUCUCCUCCAGUCUGGUUGUGUUCUAUGCGAAGCUGGAUGAAUCCAGUCCAGCCAUGCACCCUCAGAUCUCCUGGUCUGCCAUGUUGGCAGGGACUGCCUGUCUGUUUGAACUUCUCGCUGGUAUCAUGUUGAUGCAAGUGCCGACGUUCACGAUAUGAUCUGUGUACACUCUGUGUGGCUGCUGGGGCUGUGUGUAUAUAUAUGUACAUGAUCACAGAAGAGAUACUGUGGUUGAUGAGGACGUUCACGAUAUGAUCUGUGUACACUCUGUGUGGCUGCUGGGGCUGUGUGUAUAUAUAUGUACAUGAUCACAGAAGAGAUACUGUGGUUGAUGAGGACGUUCCGCCGACUCCGGGUAGAAACUGAAUGUAACCAUGGAUGCUGAAUACAAAUCAAAAUGUUGGUCAUAUGUCAAGUCACCAUCACUGAUGUUUGAAGAUAGUAUCUGUUACAUUUUAUUUCAUUUUGCGAAAGAAGUGAUGCAUCUUUAAGAUGUUUGCCAUGUUGACGUAAACCUGCUUGCAUGUGUACAUUUCAGUUUUGUUGGCGUGUUGAGGAGUGUACAGGAAGAUCUGUUGUCAUGUAAUAACACACAUGGAACCCUCACUCGCUGGAACCUCAUAAAUCCUGGAUUCUGUGUCAUCUGUGGCCAUGCUGAAUAUGUCGAUGCCAAGUUUACCAAGCAGUUCUUGCCAAACAAAAAGCAAUCUUGCACUGACUGAAAGUGAUACUUGUUCGAGUGUAGAAUUUCACUGUAAGUGAAGUAAAAUAUAUAAACAGUAUCACAUUUUGUGUAGCUAUGCUUGAGACAACUGAGUAGAAACAGAUGACGUAGACUUUCCAGAUGGUACCAGCAUUACAGAUGGCUGUCAGACCCCAGAAAAAGUGUUAGAUAUGUCAAGUGAGUACAAUGUCAGGGGUCUCCAGUCAGUACAAUGUCAGGGGUCUCCAGUCAGUACAAUGUCAGGGUCUCAAGUCAGUACAAUGUCUGGGUCUCCAGUCAGUACAAUAUCUGGUGUGUCCAGUGAGUACAAUGUCAGGAUCUCCAGUCAGUACAAUGUCAGGGUGUCCAGUCAGUACAAUGUCUGGGAUUUCCCGACAAUACAAAAUGUGACUUUGCCUCAUUUAACGGCUCCUGCUCACAACUUGGUGUACACAGUAGGCAACUCGUGAGGAGUCAGUAUGUCACACACUAAGAGAAAUGAAUAUGGUUUUUUCAUAAGCACUGAAGAUAUUUUAAAUAUCGACUUGAUCACCUUUGAUUAUCUCCCUUUGCUAGAACAAGUUAUCUCCCUUUGCAGGCCAUGUUCUACUAAUGAUGGCGGUUAAACCUGUAGUUGAGACCAUUCAUUACUCAGGUCAAACUGUAGCCAUGAAAUUGCUUGAAUGCCUCUCAGCCUGUGUCUGAUGUUCUCCGUCCCUCCAUUGUGAAUAGUGCACAUACACAGGUACUGUUUCUUUGCCAAGUAUUUGCAUCUUUAUUGUUUCCAAUCUAUUUAUGAAGUGACUCAAUGCAAAGCCAAUGAAAAUUCAUUAGCUGUGUACAAACCAGCCUUUUUAUUUGGUUCACAAUGUUUUAGUAGACGUUGAGUGCCUCCAAGUCAACAACACAUGAUGCUCACACUCAAGUUGUGCAUCAUGAUCUGAGAUUUCAUUAAACUUGUCCCAAACA
rnacentral:misc_RNA from 1 species